GAAAUGCAACAGAGAAAACUGACAGAAGAGAGUGAGCACUUGCAAGGCACUGUUAUGUGUCAAUAACUUUGCGUGUGCGUGCUCACCUCUCUUUCUGUCAGUUGCCUGACUUCUCGCUU